rnacentral:lncRNA from 1 species
CUUAAAAUUUAGCAGUACUUGCCUGACAUAUUUACUUUGCAACUCGUUAUUUACAAAUAAACGACACAUUUGCAAUUAAUUAACAUGUAUCCAGAAUGUAAAAACUGGGUCGUUUUGGAUAGAAGAAAAUGUUUAAGCGAAAUUGGCUUGAUUUGCUUCGAGUUAGUCGAAUUUCCAACACCUUACCGACAUCUCCACAUCAUCUCUACAAUGGCAAGAAAGAACACAAUCGCGCUGCGAAGGACCAUCGAAAGGGCAGAGAAACUGCUUUAGUUAAUAAAUAUAUUGUAGUAAUAAUUGAUUAUGUUUGUUUGCCUGAUAAAAUAAAUACAAUUAAAUUUU